UCUUCCGGUGUGCACGCGCUCCCCAGUCUGUUCUCUCCCGUUCGGCUAUAAAUAAACUCCGCCGGUACCCUGAAGAAAAAGAAGCGGAGAGACUCCAGAGAGUGGCUUUUAUUGUCUUCUCUCCCUUUCUCUUUUUCUUUCUUUCUCUUGAGCCGAGUUUUGGUGAUCUCGAACUGAGGUGAUACCCUUGGUGGCCGGAGAGGCCGCCUAUUGGAGCUUGGAAGGGGAGUUGGUUCUUAAUCUCGCCGCUGAUCCAUCCGGAAUUGGGGUUGCUUUGGCUUCUCCGCCGGGGUGUUGUGGCGGCGGAGGGGGUUCCUUAGUGGGGGAUCGGCGGGGAGGAUGGAGUUUUGAUUGGAUAGGCUGGGAAUGGAGGUCCGGGAGGGGAUUCGGUUGAGGGAUUGAGGUGGUCUGGAGGUUUGGAGUUUUUUUUUCUUUUUUUUUCGAGGGUUUCUUUUUAGGGGGGUGGAGAUGGCGAAGGUGCAGCAGAUGCCGCCGUCGAGCGUGGACACGAGUAGUAUUUAUGGUGGGUCGUCGGCCAAGGUGAGGGAGCCGAUACCGAAGGAUUUCCCAGUAGGGAUGAGGGUUCUCGUGGUGGACGACGACACGAUCUGCUUGAGGAUUUUGGAGCGGAUGCUCCUGGAAUGCCGUUAUAACGUCACAACUUGUAACAUGGCUGCAAGUGCAUUAUCUAUUCUGCGUGAGAGUAAGGGUGGUUUUGAUGUGGUAAUAAGUGAUGUUCAUAUGCCUGACGUGGAUGGGUUGCAGUUACUUGAACUUAUUGGUCUUGAAAUGGAUCUUCCUGUGAUCAUGAUGUCAGCUGAUAAGAGAACCAGUAUAGUGAUGCAAGGAAUUAGGCAUGGGGCUUGUGAUUAUUUAAUUAAGCCUGUUCGCAUUGAAGAGCUGAAAAACAUAUGGCAGCAUGUUGUUAGAAAGAAGUGGCAAGACAACAGAGAAGCUGAACAUUCUGAUAGCUUUGAGGAUUCUGACAGACGAGCCACUAAUGAUGCUGAAAAUAAUUCCUCAGGGAAUGAUGCAACUGAUAAUGCCAUCAAAUCUCAGAAAAAGAGAAGAGAUAGUAAAGAAGAUGAUGAAGGUGAACUAGAUAAUAGUGAUUCUUCAUCAAAGAAACCACGCGUAGUGUGGUCUGUGGAACUUCAUCAACAAUUUGUUAAUGCUGUAUACCAACUUGGAAUAAACAAGGCUGUCCCCAAGAGAAUUCUUGACUUGAUGAAUGUUCCAGGGCUAACUAGAGAAAAUGUAGCGAGCCAUUUGCAGAAAUUCAGAUUGUAUCUGAAGAGACUGAGUGUAGAUCAACACCACACUGGGCUUCCUAAUUCUUUGUCUGGCGUUGGCUCAAAUGCAAAAGUGCCUUUUCUUGGAAGCCUUGAUUUCCAACCUUUGACUGCCACAGGUCAAAUUCCUCCGCAAACCUUGGCUUCUUGGCAAGAAGAGCUGUUAGGUCGACCUUUUGGCAGCUUCGCAAUGCCAGCAAUGGACCAACCACUUCUUCAACAAGCCUCAAUGCAAGGAGCUAAGUCUGUUCCUGUUGAACAUGGCAUAGCAUUUGGUCAACCUCUGAUGAAAUGCCCGGCCACCAUGCCCACAGAGUUCUCUCAAUCGAAUGUAGCUGUUAGGGGCUUGUCUUCUGGUUUUCCUACUUGGUCCUCCAGUAAAGUGAUCUCUGCAAGCAAUCUUGGAGGGUUAAGUAAUGAUAGUAACUUGCAGGUCCCGGUGUUACAGCAGCAACAGCUGCAUCCUGUGCUAUCCGAAUCCCAUCAUGCAAUUAAUGUGCAACCAUCAUGUCUAGUUCUUCCCUCUCAGGCAUCAAAUAAUUUUCAGGAAAGGGAGAAUCCUGUGCUUGCAAAUCAGAAUUCUGUAGUACUGCCUACUCAGUCAUCGAUGAGUUUUCAAUCAGGUAAUAAUCCUACUCCUAUGAAUCAGAACUCUAUAAUUGUCCCCGCUCGGUCAUCAACCAGUAUGCAGGCAGAUAAUAAUCUUGGUCUCACAAAUCAGAAUUCAUCAUUGACCAGUUUUCAAGGUGGGAAUAAUCUUGGUCUCAUAAAUCGAAACUCCAUAACACUCCCUUCACAGCCACUGACUAGUUUUCAGGCAGGGAGCAGUCCUGCCCCUAUCAGCCAUAGCUCCAGCUUGAAGAAAAGCAGUAGAAUUGUAGAUUACAACCUACUUUCAUCCAAUUCAAGUAAUGUACAACUGGGUGAGGCACAGGUCUCAGAUGAAGUCUUCAAGAACUUCACUGUGCUAAAUAGCUACUCGAUUCCUAAAUCAAUUUCUUCGUCAGUGUCAUCCUGUACCAAUGUCAGCAUGGGUUGGUGGGCGCAGACCCUUGGUGGGAACAUUGGUCCUGUUAAUCAAUCUUGUCUCAUGCCUAGCUUGAGCAACAUCCAGGGUGCUGGUGCCAUGUCACAGGCUUUGCCUGAUCAAGGACAAGGGAAAAAUCUUGAUUUGGCCAACUUGAGCAACAUCCGUUGUGGUGGUACACUGUCACAGAUUUUACCUGAUCAAGGACAAGGGAGAAGUCUUGGUUUCAUCGGUAAAGGUACUCGCAUUCCCAGCCGAUUUGCUGUGGGUGACAUUGAAUCUCCCACUAAUGGCUCGAGUCUAAAUGAUAAUGGAGAAAUAUUGAACCGAGGUCAUCUUGGAUUUAAUGGUGAUGUUUGAAGAGUGGAACCCCAUGAAUCCUCAGAUUUCAAGUGAAUGAAUGUUCUCUGUAAAUAGAUCAAAUGCUGAGUGAUAUGCGUCUACAAUGAUCUGUUUGCAGUUGCGUAGUUCAGAAUCUAUGCACAUGUGAACAUGAAUAUGGCAAUGCUAUUUUACCUUUUCAUGGAUGGAGUUGUAGAAUGCUUCGUGAAAUCCUUGGCAGCAGUUCAUGGACAAUGUUCCGAAUAUCUGAUUCAGUCUUUUUCCCCUUUUUAAAACUUUUCCAAUUGUCCAUUAGGUUAGUCAUCCUGCUCAGGUCCUUAGAAGUCAUUUAUGGGAUUCGGUGUUACUUGUCCUGUCGGAGGGUGGUGAGUUUGCAAAAUAUUGUUUAGCCACAUCUCUAUCUUUUGUGAAAGGGAAAGACAACUUUCGUUAAUUUUUACAGUUGUGCAAUUGAAGAAACAAGCCCCAUUUGUGGCUAUGUUAAUUGGUUUUUUUGAUAGAAUAACCUAAUUCCAUUUUUACUAAAGCAAUGUGAAUUAGUAGUGGGCAGACUGGAAACCUAGUAUUGAUCUGUUUUAACAGUGAUGUAAUUAUUGAGCAUUGACAUUGGGAUGGAAGGAAAACAACAUUUAUUAGCAUAAAAA